AGUGAACGCUGGCGGUAGGCCUAACACAUGCAAGUCGAACGGCAGCACAGUAAGAGCUUGCUCUUACGGGUGGCGAGUGGCGGACGGGUGAGGAAUACAUCGGAAUCUACUUUUUCGUGGGGGAUAACGUAGGGAAACUUACGCUAAUACCGCAUACGACCUACGGGUGAAAGCAGGGGAUCUUCGGACCUUGCGCGAUUGAAUGAGCCGAUGUCGGAUUAGCUAGUUGGCGGGGUAAAGGCCCACCAAGGCGACGAUCCGUAGCUGGUCUGAGAGGAUGAUCGGCCACACUGGAGCUGAGACACGGUCCAGACUCCUACGGGAGGCAGCAGUGGGGUACAUUGGACAAUGGGCGCGAGCCUGAUCCAGCCAUACCGCGUGGGUGAAGAAGGCCUUCGGGUUGUAAAGCCCUUUUGUUGGGAAAGAAAAGCAGCAGGUUAAUACCCCGCUGUUCUGACGGUACCCGAAGAAUAAGCACCGGCUAACUUCGUG
rnacentral:rRNA from 1 species